rnacentral:tRNA from 1 species
GCAUUCGUGGUGUAACGGUUAGCACACUUGGUGCGUAUUCAAGAGGUCCGAGGUUAGAGUCCCGGCUAGGGCA